UCAAGUAUUCUGUCAGUGGACACCUGC
rnacentral:sRNA from 1 species